rnacentral:lncRNA from 1 species
AUGUCCAUAGCGUCAUACGUGUCCUUGUCAUGUCACACACAUGUCUAUAGUGUCUUAUGUGUGUCCUCAUCAUGUCACACGCGUGUCCUUAACAUGUCACACGCGUGUCCUUGCUGUGUUACACACAUGUCCAUUGGUAACACACGCGUGUCCUUGUCAUGCCACAUGUCUGUCCUUGUCAUGUCAUACACGUGUCCUUGCUGUGUUACACAUGUCCACUGUAUCACACGCAUGUCCAUUGGUAUCACACGUGUGUCCUUAUCAUGUCACACGCGUGUCCUUGCCGUGCCACACACAUGUCCAUUGUGUCACACGCGUGUCCAUUGUGUCAUACGUGUCCUUGUCAUGUCACACACGUGUCCUUCUCAUGUUAGACGCAUGUCCAUAGUGUCACACGUGUGUCCUUGUCAUCUUACACACAUGCCCACUGUGUCAUACGUGUCCUUGUCAUGUCACACGUGUGUCCUUGUCAUGUCACACGCAUGUCCAUUGUAUCACACACAUGUCCAUUGUGUCACACGCGUGUCCUUGUCAUGUCACACGCGUGUCUUUCUCAUGUUAGACGCAUGUCCAUUGACAUCACACACGUGUUGUUGCCAUGUCACACGCGUGUCGUUGCCGUGUUACACAUGUCCAUUGCAUGACACAUGUGUCCUUGUCAUGUCACACACAUGUCCAUUGUAUUACACACACAUGUCCAUUGUAUGACACGCGUGUCCUUGUCAUGUCACACGCGUGUCGUUGCCGUGUCACACGCGUGUCCUUGUCAUGUCACACACAUGUCCAUUGUAUUACACGUGUCCAUUGUAUCACACACAUGUCCAUUGUAUGACACGCGUGUCCUUGUCAUGUCACACGCGUGUCGUUGCCGUAUUACACAUGUCCAUUGUAUGACACGUGUGUUGUUGCCAUGUCCCACGCGUGUUGUUGCCGUGUCACACACAUGUUGUUGCCGUGUUACACGCGUGUUGUUGCCGUGUUACACGCGUAUGCUCCCCCCGUGUUCCAUGUUGGUGUUUCCCGUGUCUCCCAUUGGCGGCUCCACGUCCCCGUCGUCAGACACAGGAUCCUCUGGGGGCACAAAGGGGGGAAAUCAAUGGGGCUGCCCCAUAGCGGAGCCCUAUAGGGAUCCCUGCCCCAUAGCGUAGCCCUACAGGGAUCCCUGACCCAUAGCAGAGCCCUAUAGGGAUCCCUGCCCCAUAGCGGAGCCCUAUAGGGAUCCCUGCCCCAUAGCGGAGCCCUAUAGGGAUCCCUGCCC